AUAAAGUCUUCAAGCGUGGCGACCUGUGAUCCUGUGUCAUAUAGACAACAAACACAGGAGCAGCACCAAAGCUAAUCAGAUUUUUUCCUACUGAGAUUUCUAAUGAGAUUCUAUAUUUUCUGUUGCUGUUUCAUUCCACGCUGCCCGGC